rnacentral:rRNA from 1 species
GACGAACGCUGGCGGCGUGCUUAACACAUGCAAGUCGAACGGAAAGGCCCUGCUUUUGUGGGGUGCUCGAGUGGCGAAAGGGUGAGUAACACGUGAGUAACCUGGCCUUGACUUUGGGAUAACUUCAGGAAACUGGGGCUAAUACCGGAUAGGAGCUCCUGCUGCAUGGUGGGGGUUGGAAAGUUUCGGCGGUUGGGGAUGGACUCGCGGCUUAUCAGCUUGUUGGUGGGGUAGUGGCUUACCAAGGCUUUGACGGGUAGCCGGCCUGAGAGGGUGACCGGCCACAUUGGGACUGAGAUACGGCCCAGACUCCUACGGGAGGCAGCAGUGGGGAAUAUUGCACAAUGGGCGGAAGACUGAUGCAGCAACGCCGCGUGCGGGAUGACGGCCUUCGGGUUGUAAACCGCUUUCGCCUGUGACGAAGCGUGAGUGACGGUAAUGGGUAAAGAAGCACCGGCUAACUACGUG